rnacentral:ncRNA from 1 species
CUGUCGUCAGCUCGUGCCGUAAGGUGUUGGGUUAAGUCUCGCAACGAGCGCAACCCUCGUGUUUAGUUGCCACUAUGAGUUUGGAACCCUGAACAGACCGCCGGUGUUAAGCCGGAGGAGCUUGCUGUUGCAAAUAAG